rnacentral:rRNA from 1 species
GGGGGUGCAAGCGUUGUCCGGAAUCAUUGGGCGUAAAGCGUUCGUAGGCGGUAAAGAAAGUCAGAUGUUAAAGCCCGGGGCUUAACUCCGGAUCGGCAUUUGAUACUUCUUAACUGGAAUGCGGUAGAGGUAAAGGGAAUUCCUGGUGUAGCGGUGAAAUGCGUAGAUAUCAGGAGGAACAUCAGAGGCGAAAGCGCUUUACUGGGCCGUUAUUGACGCUGAGGAACGAAAGCCGGGGGAGCAAA